CAGUAGCCGCGGUAAAACGUAGGUGGCAAGCGUUGUCCGGAAUUAUUGGGCGUAAAGGGCUCGCAGGCGGUUUCUUAAGUCUGAUGUGACAGCCCCCGGCUCAACCGGGGAGGGUCAUUGGAAACUGGGAAACUUGAGUGCAGAAGAGGAGAGUGGAAUCCCACGUGUAGCGGUGAAAUGCGUAGAGAUGUGGAGGAACACCAGCGGCGAAGGCGACUCUCUGGUCUGUAACUGACGCUGAGGAGCGAAAGCGUGGGGAGCGAACAGGAUUAGAUACCCCCGUAGUCCCUGUCUCUUAUAC
rnacentral:rRNA from 1 species